UGUUUCAAUGGAAGUCAAUGACCCAAGUAAACGUUGGUUUCUAUGGAAGAGACACCCCUUUAAGUAGACAGGAACUGACACAUUUUUUCCUAUGGUAAAUGGCCUGAGUGAGCCAUCUUCAUUUAUCCAACGUCUUUGGAUAUACACAGACUGGCGGAGUGGAGCGAGAAACGACUGUUGGGCUGUCCCGUGAAGAGAUCUCGCCAUGCGUGAAUACAAGCUAGUGGUGCUAGGCUCGGGAGGCGUGGGCAAGUCCGCUCUGACAGUCCAGUUUGUGCAGGGAAUCUUUGUGGAAAAGUACGACCCAACAAUAGAAGACUCCUACAGAAAGG